AGAGUUUGAUCAUGGCUCAGAUUGAACGCUGGCGGCAGGCCUAACACAUGCAAGUCGAGCGGUAGCACAGAGAGCUUGCUCUCGGGUGACGAGCGGCGGACGGGUGAGUAAUGUCUGGGAAACUGCCUGAUGGAGGGGGAUAACUACUGGAAACGGUAGCUAAUACCGCAUAACGUCGCAAGACCAAAGUGGGGGACCUUCGGGCCUCAUGCCAUCAGAUGUGCCCAGAUGGGAUUAGCUAGUAGGUGGGGUAAUGGCUCACCUAGGCGACGAUCCCUAGCUGGUCUGAGAGGAUGACCAGCCACACUGGAACUGAGACACGGUCCAGACUCCUACGGGAGGCAGCAGUGGGGAAUAUUGCACAAUGGGCGCAAGCCUGAUGCAGCCAUGCCGCGUGUGUGAAGAAGGCCUUCGGGUUGUAAAGCACUUUCAGCGGGGAGGAAGGCGUUAAGGUUAAUAACCUUGGCGAUUGACGUUACCCGCAGAAGAAGCACCGGCUAACUCCGUGCCAGCAGCCGCGGUAAUACGGAGGGUGCAAGCGUUAAUCGGAAUUACUGGGCGUAAAGCGCACGCAGGCGGUCUGUCAAGUCGGAUGUGAAAUCCCCGGGCUCAACCUGGGAACUGCAUUCGAAACUGGCAGGCUAGAGUCUUGUAGAGGGGGGUAGAAUUCCAGGUGUAGCGGUGAAAUGCGUAGAGAUCUGGAGGAAUACCGGUGGCGAAGGCGGCCCCCUGGACAAAGACUGACGCUCAGGUGCGAAAGCGUGGGGAGCAAACAGGAUUAGAUACCCUGGUAGUCCACGCCGUAAACGAUGUCGAUUUGGAGGUUGUGCCCUUGAGGCGUGGCUUCCGGAGCUAACGCGUUAAAUCGACCGCCUGGGGAGUACGGCCGCAAGGUUAAAACUCAAAUGAAUUGACGGGGGCCCGCACAAGCGGUGGAGCAUGUGGUUUAAUUCGAUGCAACGCGAAGAACCUUACCUGGUCUUGACAUCCACAGAACUUAGCAGAGAUGCUUUGGUGCCUUCGGGAACUGUGAGACAGGUGCUGCAUGGCUGUCGUCAGCUCGUGUUGUGAAAUGUUGGGUUAAGUCCCGCAACGAGCGCAACCCUUAUCCUUUGUUGCCAGCGGUCCGGCCGGGAACUCAAAGGAGACUGCCAGUGAUAAACUGGAGGAAGGUGGGGAUGACGUCAAGUCAUCAUGGCCCUUACGACCAGGGCUACACACGUGCUACAAUGGCAUAUACAAAGAGAAGCGACCUCGCGAGAGCAAGCGGACCUCAUAAAGUAUGUCGUAGUCCGGAUUGGAGUCUGCAACUCGACUCCAUGAAGUCGGAAUCGCUAGUAAUCGUAGAUCAGAAUGCUACGGUGAAUACGUUCCCGGGCCUUGUACACACCGCCCGUCACACCAUGGGAGUGGGUUGCAAAAGAAGUAGGUAGCUUAACCUUCGGGAGGGCGCUUACCACUUUGUGAUUCAUGACUGGGGUGAAGUCGUAACAAGGUAACCGUAGGGGAACCUGCGGUUGGAUCACCU
rnacentral:rRNA from 3 species